rnacentral:rRNA from 1 species
UGGCAUCGGCAGCUUACACAUGCAGUCGAGGGGUAUAACAUCUUCGGUGUUAGAGACCGGCGCACGGGUGCGUAACGCGUAUGCAAUCUGCCUUUCACAGAGGGAUAGCCCAGAGAAAUUUGGAUUAAUACCUCAUAGUAUUAUGAAAAGGCAUCUUUUUGUAAUUAAAGUCACAACGGUGAAAGAUGAGCAUGCGUCCCAUUAGUUAGUUGGUAAGGUAACGGCUUACCAAGACUUCGAUGGGUAGGGGUCCUGAGAGGGAGAUCCCCCACACUGGUACUGAGACACGGACCAGACUCCUACGGGAGGCAGCAGUGAGGAAUAUUGGUCAAUGGGCGCAAGCCUGAACCAGCCAUGCCGCGUGCAGGAUGACGGUCCUAUGGAUUGUAAACUGCUUUUGUACGAGAAGAAACACUCCUUCGUGAAGGAGCUUGACGGUAUCGUAAGAAUAAGGAUCGGCUAACUCCGUGCCAGCAGCCGCGGUAAUACGGAGGAUCCAAGCGUUAUCCGGAAUCAUUGGGUUUAAAGGGUCCGUAGGCGGUCUUGUAAGUCAGUGGUGAAAGCCCGUCGCUCAACGACGGAACGGCCAUUGAUACUGCAGGACUUGAAUUAUUGGGAAGUAACUAGAAUAUGUAGUGUAGCGGUGAAAUGCUUAGAGAUUACAUGGAAUACCAAUUGCGAAGGCAGGUUACUACCAAUUGAUUGACGCUGAUGGACGAAAGCGUGGGUAGCGAACAGGAUUAGAUACCCUGGUAGUCCACGCCGUAAACGAUGGAUACUAGCUGUUGGGGGCAACUUCAGUGGCUUAAGGCGGAAGGUGGAUAAGUAUUCCCACCUGGGGGAGGUACGAACCGCAAGGUUUGAAACUCCAAAGGGAAUUGACCGGGGGCCCGCACCAAGCCGGGUGGAAGCAAUGGUGGUUUAAUUCGAUGAAUACGCGAGGAACCUUACCAAGGCUUAAAUGCAGACUGACCGAUUUGGAAACAGAUCUUCGCAAGAACAGUUUACAGGUGCUGCAUGAUGUCGUCAGCUCUGCGUGGAGGUGUCAAGUAGUCUAUACGAGCGCACCCUGUGUAGUGCAGCGAGUCAUUGUCGGAACUCUACAAACUGCGGUGCGAAGCGUUUCGCAGUGGGGAUGAGCGGUCGAAUCACUCACGCCCUAAGCUUGGCUACACGUCUCAUGCGUCAGACGUCACCUUCGAAGGGAGCAACUCUUUAAGCCG